AGGGGGAUAACUACUGGAAACGGUAGCUAAUACCGCAUAACGUCUUCGGACCAAAGUGGGGGACCUUCGGGCCUCACACCAUCGGAUGUGCCCAGAUGGGAUUAGCUAGUAGGUGGGGUAAUGGCUCACCUAGGCGACGAUCCCUAGCUGGUCUGAGAGGAUGACCAGCCACACUGGAACUGAGACACGGUCCAGACUCCUACGGGAGGCAGCAGUGGGGAAUAUUGCACAAUGGGCGCAAGCCUGAUGCAGCCAUGCCGCGUGUAUGAAGAAGGCCUUCGGGUUGUAAAGUACUUUCAGCGGGGAGGAAGGCGAUAAGGUUAAUAACCUUAUCGAUUGACGUUACCCGCAGAAGAAGCACCGGCUAACUCCGUGCCAGCAGCCGCGGUAAUACGGAGGGUGCAAGCGUUAAUCGGAAUUACUGGGCGUAAAGCGCACGCAGGCGGUCUGUCAAGUCAGAUGUGAAAUCCCCGGGCUUAACCUGGGAACUGCAUUUGAAACUGGCAGGCUAGAGUCUUGUAGAGGGGGGUAGAAUUCCAGGUGUAGCGGUGAAAUGCGUA
rnacentral:rRNA from 2 species